CCCUUGUACCUGUAUGUAGGUAAUGGUGUCUGAGGGAAGAUGGCAAGCAGCAGCAGCAGCAUUAUAGGAGCAGUCCUGACAGAAGCUGCCCAAGAGAAAAGCUGGACCCUGGCCCUCCCUGCUUUGCAGACUACACUGUUGAGCGUCACUGGGUUGCAGGAGGACGUAUCGGACUUGCUCGGAACCGGCUAGUUCAUGGGUUUGAAUCCAUGAAGGAACGAGGCUGUGAGGUGGAGCUUUUGGAGCUGGGGGUGAAGAACCCAUCCAUUGUCCUGGGAAAGGCGAUCUCGCCUGUUGGGGAAAGCCUGUGGAUGACGGGAGGACAUACAGAGUAGAGAUCAGGAAAGAAAAGGCAGCACUGCCCUAAAUCCCAUCUUCAGCCGAGGACGGUUGAGAAGGAACUGAGGAGGGUGCGGGACGCAUGCACUCAGGAAGAUUCCAACGAGACAGGAGAUACCAACUGAGUGUGUGCAUCCCGACCAGGCACUGCUACUGAAAAUCUCCGACCAACGGCUCUGGGAUGCACCAUCCCCUAGAGUGGAGCAUCCACAGGGACAGCACUCGAAGAAGAAGGGUACUUGCUGAUAACAAUAUAACUGCAGUAUGCAGUAAUAACUCUGCAUGUGAAUCUCCCGAGUCAGUAGUGCUGGCUCCUCAGCACCAUACUCAAUUAACCAGAUCAGGGAUACUCACGAUGAUUAUACUGGAGCACCAAACCACCAUGGUCCAUGGUGCUGAAUCCUUGGCACUGGACAAGGUUGAUUUAGAUGUAUUUAUGACCUUAUUACCAGUUAUUUUGAUCAUCAAACUCCAUUUGCAGUUCAGAGUCAACAGGACCAGAAUUCAUCAGACAGAGGAGACCAGGAACCUGGACUCUGUUUAAGCAAGACAUAGAGCCAUUUUGAAGAGCCAAUCUCAAAAGUUAAUGCUGGACGUACAUCACCAGACUUAUUCAACUGGACCUUAUCGGCCAACAUGUCAGUAAAGGUGUAUUAGGUGGUCUGCCCAUUUCUACAAGUCAAUCUCCAAAGACAAUGCUGGAUUUACACAUUUAUGACUGGGCUUAAGGAGCGUUCUGGUCAGUAGGAGUGUGGCAACCAUUCUGUUCCAUGCAGAUCCUCAUGAUGUCCAUGCUGAACAGGCUCUUUUUCUCCUUUCUGAAAUUAAGGAAAGGCGAGUAACUGACCAAAAAAAACCCCAAACCAAACCACCUGUUGAGAAACGUGUCAAGGACACUGCAUACAAUGUGAGCUUUCUGCACGAUAUCUAUUAAGAAGGAACUGAAGGGCAACUAUGGCCAGAGUGGUUUUAUGACCUUAGAAUCUUCUAUGACGGAGGAGGGGAAGGGGUUGGUGAAUGGUCCGAACUGACACCGCUUGUCAACUGAUUCCAGGCACCAAUCCCAAAAAUGGGACCAUGCAGUGGCAACACUUUCAAAGAACAACUGGUUAACUUUCCUGAAGUCUUGGGAACAAGACAAGUAAAAUAUCUGAAAUCUUUUAACAGCUAAAAGAAUGUAAACACUUGUCCUGAGGAAAAAAGGUAGCUAAAACAAUUAAGAUGUAACUCAGCGUCCACUGUGGGAAUAAGCUCCAAAGGAAGCCAGAGUUCACAGUUUAUUGGACAAAAACUGGAAGGAAGAGAAAUAACCAAAGAACUUAAUUCUCCAGUCCUCCUUUCAGAAAUAACUAUAAACAAAGUCACUUUCAGAGUCAGGAAUAUGAAACCUGGCUUAUAGAAUCAAUAGGAGGUUCUGUGCUAAGGAGCAUUUUGGAGUGAUAGGAUUAAGUAAAGGUCUCUGUGAGAGAAGGAAAUGGAAAAGCUAUUUGAAAUAAGCUAAAAUCUAUGUCAGUAAUAGGGCCCUCAAAGGCCAAAAUAGCAGAAUCUUAUACCCAGAGUACUCUGAUUUAAAGCCCCCUCAAAUCCUGCUAAUAUAAAAAUCCAAAAUAUUCUUUAUAGAAGAGGAACAGUGCAUGAUGUUUUGAUCAGAAGCACAACCAUAGAAAGACCCAUCAUGUUAGUGGAAGGUUUCCUAUUCAAGAAGACAAUCUGCAACCUCCACGGCAGUCUUUUCUUGGAACCAGCACUACUCAAUUUCCAUAUUAAUCUCAAGUGACUGGAUUAGGCCUGGAACAAUGAACUCCAAGAUAAAAGGUUGGAUGUCUUGAGAAGUGGCCAGCAUGGAGGUUAAUUAAAUAGGAGAAUAAAGGGCCAUGUGCCUCUAAGAAGCUAAAAUAAUCAUCACUGUCUUGCCUGCUAUUUCAGUGACAUUUUGAGUGGAGAGAGAUCAGGGAAGGCAAGAUGUCGCUUCAUGCUCCAGUCCCAGAAUUUUGGGUUUGGUAUUUCUCUAGCAGAAACAAGAAAGUUUGGCAUUUGUCAGACUGAGUUGAAAUUAAAUUUUAACUAUAUUUAACUGAAAAACCUGAAUACUGGGGCUCCUCUCCCAGGCAACUAACUGCUGAUGACUGAGCUAGUCUGCAAGAGAGUUGUCUUUCUUCCACUGUUAUUUGGAGGGAAAGCAAAUGAGACUACAUCCAGGAGAAGAGACUCUAAAAGGGAAACCCAAUUCCAAGAGUUGUAAGCUUGCAUAAAAGCAGGUACAGAGUUUGCCUGAGCACCUAAGAGAUUGUUGGAAGCCCAGAUAGAGUGAGAAUAGAGUGAGCAGAAUUGAUGCUAGUGGCAAGGACUGUACCAGUCCGGAGAAGAAAGGAACUACUGUAGUGCUAGAAGUGCUACUAGGCAGGGGAGGGUGAGGUGAGGAGAAGAGAAUUCCCAAAAUGCUGAGCUUACCAGCAAUCUGGGAUGAUGGGUAUGGCUGACAGGCAAGGAACAUAACUAAGCUGCAUCUGCAAAUACCAACAGUUUGGCAGGAGAGACAGAGAGGGGGAGCUUAUUGGGAAAUGCCUGCUGUCUCCAGGUUGGAUAAAUAGUGGCAAUAAUGCUGAGGGAAGAGGGCCCAGUGAAACCCACUUCCUAUACAUAUGAAGUCAGAUUUCUAGGAUGGCCAGUAUCAGGUCCAUGAGAUGUGGAGAUAGCUGGAUCCAGAGGUCUCUCCUGAGAUGCAGGAGCAGCUUUGCUGUCAGCAAGGGGUUCAAUGGCAGAGCUUAAAGCUCUGUCAUCCGCAUCCUCUCUGCAAGAAAUUCCCCUGAACCACUGGGGAGGGGAUAACCAAAGCCUUGAUCUUCUCCAAUAUGUUCCUCUUCUUCUUCUCCUCCCUCUGGGGCCUAGUAAGGAGCGGAGAAAAGGGUUUAGAAGAAAUAGAGGAGGAAGGAACAGUGCAGAAGGAUUCCUUGCUUAUUUGAUGGUAAAGAAGAUAAAAUGAUCUGGGAGCGAUCUGACUGGUGUUCUAACUCAAAAAUCUUUCCCUCCUUGCUUCCUAGCAUGUGGAACUGUAAUACCAUCUGUCCUUUACUCAGCAUUGCCAAAUCUAAGAGAUCAAAAUUCAUGAGUUAUGCCCUGAAAAAUCAUGAGAUUUUAAAAAAUAAUACAUUUUGAUCUUGUUAUUUGCCUUCUGGAUUUUGAGCUGUAAGGUUCAUGUUUUCAAGCAUUUCUCCAUAACCACGAGGGCUAGAAACUCACUUUAAUUUUAAGCUGAAAUUCUCAUAUAAUAUUAUUAUUACCUAGCUCUUACAAAGUAAUCAAAUAUAAUCAAAAUAGUCCAAGAGUUGGAGCUUUAAAGAAAAACACCAAAUAUAGCAACAUAGUGAUAAAACACGAUUUCCUGCCUCUUCUAAGGAUGGUGUUAAAGAGAUGUACAGUCAUCUAUGCACACCCCCUUCCAUGGCUUCUCAACUUACUGGCACAGUUUUAUUCAGCAGAGUAAAAUUCACCAACUGUCUUAAGCAGUUUAAUAAUCUAAUAUGAUCCCAUGUUGCCCCUCACACCAGUUCCCUCCCCCCCCCGACCCCUCAAAUCCCCUUUGACUUUAUCUUUCCUUUUCCUACCUUUCUUCCAUUGAUACCCAAUACCCAAAGUGAAGCUAAAGAAGAUUUAGCUACUAUGAAACAGCUCUGAAAUGUUGCAGUUUGGUGCUACAUUUAUCGUUUUAUCUUUACUUUUAAGUUGAACACUCAUUAGGACUCAAAUUGACAGUUCAUUAAACAUACUUCAUAUUAAUGCAAUAAACUCCAUAUCAACAAAU